GAUGAACGCUGGCGGCGUGCCUAAUACAUGCAAGUCGAGCGAACAGACGAGGAGCUUGCUCCUCUGACGUUAGCGGCGGACGGGUGAGUAACACGUGGAUAACCUACCCAUAAGACUGGGAUAACUUCGGGAAACCGGAGCUAAUACCGGAUAAUAUAUUGAACCGCAUGGUUCAAUAGUGAAAGACGGUUUUGCUGUCACUUAUAGAUGGAUCCGCGCCGCAUUAGCUAGUUGGUAAGGUAACGGCUUACCAAGGCGACGAUGCGUAGCCGACCUGAGAGGGUGAUCGGCCACACUGGAACUGAGACACGGUCCAGACUCCUACGGGAGGCAGCAGUAGGGAAUCUUCCGCAUAGGGCGAAAGCCUGACGGAGCAACGCCGCGUGAGUGAUGAAGGUCUUCGGAUCGUAAAACUCUGUUAUUAGGGAAGAACAAAUGCGUAAGUAACUAUGCACGUCUUGACGGUACCUAAUCAGAAAGCUACGGCUAACUACGUG
rnacentral:rRNA from 1 species